rnacentral:rRNA from 1 species
UACAGAGGGUGCAAGCGUUGUUCGGAAUUAUUGGGCGUAAAGCGCGUGUAGGCGGCUUGUUAAGUCGGGUGUGAAAGCCCUCAGCUCAACUGAGGAAGUGCGCCCGAAACUGGCGAGCUUGAGUGUCGGAGAGGAUGGCGGAAUACCCCAAGUAGAGGUGAAAUUCGUAGAUAUGGGGUGGAACACCGGUGGCGGAGGCGGCCAUCUGGACGACAACUGACGCUGAGACGCGAAAGCGUGGGGAGCAAACAGG